AACGCUAGCUACAGGCUUAACACAUGCAAGUCGAGGGGAAACGACAUCGAAAGCUUGCUUUUGAUGGGCGUCGACCGGCGCACGGGUGAGUAACGCGUAUCCAACCUGCCCACCACUUGGGGAUAACCUUGCGAAAGUAAGACUAAUACCCAAUGAUAUCUCUAGAAGACAUCUGAAAGAGAUUAAAGAUUUAUCGGUGAUGGAUGGGGAUGCGUCUGAUUAGCUUGUUGGCGGGGUAACGGCCCACCAAGGCGACGAUCAGUAGGGGUUCUGAGAGGAAGGUCCCCCACAUUGGAACUGAGACACGGUCCAAACUCCUACGGGAGGCAGCAGUGAGGAAUAUUGGUCAAUGGGCGAGAGCCUGAACCAGCCAAGUAGCGUGCAGGACGACGGCCCUAUGGGUUGUAAACUGCUUUUAUAAGGGAAUAAAGUGAGUCUCGUGAGACUUUUUGCAUGUACCUUAUGAAUAAGGACCGGCUAAUUCCGUGCCAGCAGCCGCGGUAAUACGGAAGGUCCGGGCGUUAUCCGGAUUUAUUGGGUUUAAAGGGAGCGUAGGCCGGAGAUUAAGCGUGUUGUGAAAUGUAGUGGCUCAACCUCUGCACUGCAGCGCGAACUGGUCUUCUUGAGUACGCACAACGUGGGCGGAAUUCGUGGUGUAGCGGUGAAAUGCUUAGAUAUCACGAAGAACUCCGAUUG
rnacentral:rRNA from 1 species